UGGAUCGUAGCUCAGUGGUAGAGUGCAUGCCUAGCAUGUGUGAGACCCUAGAUUCAAUUCCUAGUAUCCCAA
rnacentral:tRNA from 1 species